AGUGAACGCUGGCGGCAGGCCUAACACAUGCAAGUCGAACGAGUGGCGGACGGGUGAGGAAUAUAUCGGAAUCUGCUUUAUGGAGGGGGAUAACGUCGGGCAACGUACGCUAAUACCGCAUACGAUUGGAUGAGCCGAGGUUGGAGUAGCUAGUUGGUGGGGUAACGGCUCACCAAGGCGACGAUCCCUAGCUGGUCUGAGAGGAUGAUCAGCCACACUGGAACUGAGACACGGUCCAGACGCCUACGGGAGGCAGCAGUGGGGAAUAUUGCACAAUGGGCGCAAGCCUGAUCCAGCCAUGCCGCGUGGGUGAAGAAGGCCUUCGGGUUGUAAAGCCCUUUUAGUGGGAAAGCGGUACCCAAAGAAUAAGCACCGGCUAACUCCGUGCCAGCAGCCGCGGUAAUUC
rnacentral:rRNA from 1 species